AUUGAACGCUGGCGGCAGGCCUAACACAUGCAAGUCGAGCGAGCGGCGGACGGGUGAGUAAUGUAUGGGGAACUGCCCGAUAGAGGGGGAUAACUACUGGAAACGGUGGAUAAUACCGCCUACUAUCGGAUGAACCCAUAUGGGAUUAGCUAGGAGGUGGGGUAAAGGCUAACCUAGGCGACGAUCUAUAGCUGGGCUGAGAGGAUGAUCAGCCACACUGGGACUGAGACACGGCCCAGACUCCUACGGGAGGCAGCAGUGGGGAAUAUUGAACAAUGGGCGCAAGCCUGAUGCAGCCAUGCCGCGGUGAGGAAGAAGGCCUUAGGGUUGUAAAGUACUUUCAGCGGGGAGGCGUUACCCGCAGAAGAAGCACCGGCUAACUCCGUGCCAGCAGCCGCGGUAAUUC
rnacentral:rRNA from 1 species